AUUGAACGCUGGCGGCAUGCCUUACACAUGCAAGUCGAACGGUAACAGGUCUUCGGAUGCUGACGAGUGGCGAACGGGUGAGUAAUACAUCGGAACGUGCCCGAUCGUGGGGGAUAACGGAGCGAAAACUUUGCUAAUACCGCAUACGAUCUACGGAUGAAAGCAGGGGACCGCAAGGCCUUGCGCGGACGGAGCGGCCGAUGGCAGAUUAGGUAGUUGGUGGGAUAAAAGCUUACCAAGCCGACGAUCUGUAGCUGGUCUGAGAGGACGACCAGCCACACUGGGACUGAGACACGGCCCAGACUCCUACGGGAGGCAGCAGUGGGGAAUUUUGGACAAUGGGCGAAAGCCUGAUCCAGCCAUGCCGCGUGCAGGAUGAAGGCCUUCGGGUUGUAAACUGCUUUUGUACGGAACGAAAAGACUCUUUCUAAUAAAGAGGGUCCAUGACGGUACCGUAAGAAUAAGCACCGGCUAACUACGUG
rnacentral:rRNA from 1 species